UGAACCUUAUCGGCACCACCACCAUUAUUAUUACCGGCACAAACAGUGUUGGGGCGGGCUGAUACGCGCAAGAUUUCAAAAAAAAGCCCGCACCUCACAGUGCGGGCUUUUUUUUC
rfam:Photobacterium halotolerans strain MELD1 scaffold1, whole genome shotgun sequence.